CCCAUUUCCUUCCUCUCUGCCGCCGCCACCUCCUCCCCCUUCUCUUCUCCACUGGCCCGAGCGCCUUCCCCCUUCUCUUUGCAACUGCGAGCUUGUCCCCCCGGUCUUCUCUUCUCUCCUUGCUCCAGUCGACCGGCCGCCGCCACCUCCCUCCCGAUCUCCCUCGCCCCCCACUCCUCUCCAUCUCCAGCCAUCUCACCCGCCCCCACUCCUCUCUGUCUCACCCGUGGGCGCGCCUCCUGUCUCACCCGACCACGACGCCACACCGCAAGGGAGCGUCGGGCUCGACCCCGCGCGCGGCCGGAUUCGGCGCCCCCAACCCUGACCGCCUUGGAUCCGGCGUCCCCUACCCCGGUGGCCGCUAGAUCCCCGACCCCGACCAUUGCCGCCGGCGUCUCCGAUCCGGGUAGCGCCAUGGAGUCCCGGCCAUGGAGUCAUGGAGUCGCGAGCAGCGCCAUGGAGUCCCAGCCGCCGCCGUUGUGGUGUGGUAUGGUGUCUGCCACCGCCGCCAUGGAGACGAGGGUGCGCCUCCACGUUCGUCCCCGACGUCGACUUUGGCCUGCAAUGGAUUUGUCUUUUUUUUAUCUGUAUGCAUCUGUCCUCCGGUGAUUUGCUAUUGUACGGUGUCCAAAAUCCGGAUUCUUUGCUUACCUAUUUGUUGUGAUUUGUUGCAUCAUUUGGUUAAUUAGUUAGAUUUGCGAUUUGGAGAAUCGAUGAACGUGAGGGCCGGGAGGGCCAUUUCUUUUUUUUUCUU